ACGCGCUACAUUUAUUAAAUAUAACAUGAAGAUGACCAGGAUCUCCUGCUCCGUGUCUCUGGUGGUGGUGACUUUUCUGUGGAUGAUGAUUCUUGUCAGAGGAGCCCUGCGACAGGCUGACAACAUGUCCAGGGUGGACCCCGCCUCUCUCCCGAUACCAGCUGUGAUAGGCUCCAGCAGCCCCCGUGACUCUAGUGAGGAAAAUGAGAUGUACGGAAGCUCUAGAACAUCGCAUCACGUAUCUCUAUCUAUUUAUGUCCAGUUUCUCCUGAGUGAGAGAAGCAGACACGCUGCACGCAAAUGAAUUAUCGCGUUAUCACGAGAAAACGGAAGAAAUUAUGUCGUUAUUACGGGAAAACGGGUGGAGUAAAAUGUAUUUACGAUCCUUUAGGGCUUCCCUAGAGAUGAGAUGAAUUUUCUCAUUAUUUUACAAACACAACAGUUGAACUAUGGGAGGAUGGUGUCAUACAGGAGUUAAAAAGAGAAACAGAAACUGUAGAGAUUAGAUAAUCAAAUAAUAGUGUCGGUAAUUAUAUCAAAUUAAGUUUGUGCAUCAUUUACACUUAAAUGUCAUUGUUGUAACUUUAAAAACUUAGCUUGAUGACUUAAUUUUUCUAAACAUUGACUUUACAAGUUUAAGUUACCUCUCAUACCCACAAUGUGCCUGGACUAGUUCUGAGUAGAGACGCUGUGUUAGGAGGCUGAACAACCUCGAUAAAAGCAACAUUUCAUGAAUAAGAUUUGAUUCUAAUAGUUCUGCUGAAGUAAUGGGUUUACAUUUAUUCAUUCAGAUAAUAGUCUGUGUGCACAGCAAGAGAGCGCUGUUGGGAAAAGGAUUAUUCACAUUUAGCUCAUUGGAUGCAGCAAUGAGCUAAUGUAAAGGAAAAGACGAACCAAUGACUGUUUACUGGUAUUUUAUGCAACCUACAAAGCAUCCAGAAAAAUAUCAAGAUGCACAAACAAACUGAAGGUCAAUUGUAAAAUUGUCAUGGAAGGAACCAAAUGUUUGGUUGAGAAGGAUGUUCAAAGGUCCCGUGCCUUGUUGAUUGCCUGUACCGAAACGCAUUCGUUACCCGUUUAUAAUGUACAUGUGGUGACGGCAUUUAUUUGCAAAACAACUUUGCACAAGUGAUAGUAAUAAUCGCACAUUGCACUUGAGUCACGAUAGCACUUUAUUUACCAUGGUUUGCACAAUACAUUUUGUACAUUGCUUAUUUGCACAUCUUUACAGAUAUUUAACUUUAUUUAUUGACCAUGUAUGAGCUUUCAGGGAACCUCGUGACCGCGGUUGAUCGCGUGCCGUCGGGCAGGUGUGGGAGCGCGCACUCGCUCCCCCUGCAAGAGGAGAGGAAAAGUUAAGCUCCACCGAAGUUGUGCACAUUAUUGGAAGAGUCACCGUAAGCAGUGCAGAAGUGUUUGUGAAUGUGUGUGUCUAAUAUCAUCAGUGGUAAAUGAGCAAGUUUGUGCUAUUGUGAUAAAUUACGUUAUUUGUGUUUAGCACUUACCUGUCCAGUCAGGUGUGUGCUCCGCGGUGCGCAGCCAAAGGAUUCCCCCUGGGGCACAGCACCUUCAUAAAGGUUCCAGGAGAGACCAGGUGACAGGAUAGGAAGUGGGGAGAUUGCAAGUCAUGGUGUUUAUUUCUAUGUAUUGUAUUUAUAUUUUAGAGGUGUAUUGGGGAUGAGGACAACAGCAAAACUGAAUAUUGUGAAUAUUAUGUGUACAGGGUACAUUGAAGAUUUGUCUAUGGUUAGGUAGUCAUGUGAUAAAUGUUUAAGUUUACCUGUAGAGUGGAAGAUCCAGUGAUUGAUCCGGUGGCACAGUACUUAAAGCGCCAGUUACCAUGUGUCUGUGUUGCAGGUCUGAACACGAGACAUUUCACCCUUCACCGUUUCUGUUAUCGCUGGUACAGAUUAAAAAAAGAAAGAAAACCAGGAAACCUGAGCAUUGCCUAAACUUUUCUUGAACAUCAUCCAGCUGCUCACGGGUCACUGAGUACACAUGGCCAUAAUUACAAAAUACAUAACACACAAGGAAUUACAUAAUGCUUGUGUCACUGAGGAGCAGUUGAGUUUGUUUUCUUAUUUUGUUUUUUUCAAUCUCAAGUGUAUUUCAAAAUAAU